GACGAACGCUGGCGGCGUGCCUAAUACAUGCAAGUUGAGCGCUGAAGGUUGGUACUUGUACCAACUGGAUGAGCAGCGAACGGGUGAGUAACGCGUGGGGAAUCUGCCUUUGAGCGGGGGACAACAUUUGGAAACGAAUGCUAAUACCGCAUAAAAACUUUAAACACAAGUUUUAAGUUUGAAAGAUGCAAUUGCAUCACUCAAAGAUGAUCCCGCGUUGUAUUAGCUAGUUGGUGAGGUAAAGGCUCACCAAGGCGAUGAUACAUAGCCGACCUGAGAGGGUGAUCGGCCACAUUGGGACUGAGACACGGCCCAAACUCCUACGGGAGGCAGCAGUAGGGAAUCUUCGGCGAUGGACGAAAGUCUGACCGAGCAACGCCGCGUGAGUGAAGAAGGUUUUCGGAUCGUAAAACUCUGUUGGUAGAGAAGAACGCUGGUGAGAGUGGAAAGCUCAUCAAGUGACGGUAACUACCCAGAAAGGGACGGCUAACUACGUG
rnacentral:rRNA from 1 species